UUGUUUUUUGUCUCCGCAGAUCGGCUAUGAGAGACACUGGCUUCACUUUCUCAAAGAGUUCAUUGUACCUGUCAACGCCAGACUGUACCCUGGUUACAACUCUGAGGCUCGUUCCGUCAUGAACUUUGUUGUAAAGUACGAUCCUAACCGACAGUACUAUCUCAGACCACAUCAUGACUCUUCAACGUACACAAUCAACAUUGCUUUGACUAGGCCAGGGAUUGACCACGGAGGCGGGGGAUGCAGAUUUUUGCGUUACAACUGUCAAGUCACGGAAACUCGCCGAGGCUGGUCUUUCAUGCACCCAGGACGGCUCACGCAUUACCACGAAGGAUUGCCCGUGACAUGGGGAAAGCGUUACAUCAUGAUCUCUUUUGUAGACCCUUGAAAACAAGAUAUUACGCUUAUAAUAUAAAAAGAAAUUACUCCUAUUUUUAGUACGCAGAAUACAGAUGGAAUUUCCAAGCUAUUUUUGAAACUAAUUUUUACCGUGUCGCUAAAAUCUUCUUUAAGCAGCUAUUUUCUCAGUUGGUCCGCAGCAAGUAGUUUCAUGUCAAAGGAAUUAAACUGUACUUGAUGGAAGUCCAAGUCUUGAACAGAUUGGACAAGAAACAGUGCAAGGCUUAGACGCAAGGCGCACAAUUUGGCAGUCAGCAACUUUCAUCCCGUUGUUGUUAUUAAAUUUACAAAUAGGAAGUAGUGUUUGAUAUAUAAACUCAGAUUUUAUAAGAAUUGAUGUAGUUAAAUUUAAUGAUAUCCUAAUAUCAAAGUAUGUAGUAUCUCUUAGCAAUCGUCACUUCACUUGUUACGUAACGCUUCACUCGGAAAAGAGAAUAUUUCGUGACAAUGUAAGUCACGACAGGGAAAGAGACCUUCAAUAUAGUUGAUGUUAAUCAUAUAUUUGUUGUUUAAGUUCAAGAUGUUGUGAUUGAGAUAUAAUAUACGGGUAGUACUGUUGUAAACCCAUGCCCUGAUGUCUGCUGUUUGAAGCAUGUUAGAGCGGGUUGCAGGGCUUCCAUUAAGUCUCGUACCUUCUGUGAGUAUGAACGGGGUAUCGCCUGGUGCAAGAAGCUUGGAAAUGAAAAUAAACGCCUGGCAACAUUGUA